rnacentral:lncRNA from 1 species
UAAGUUAAAGUUGUAAGCUUUGACUUGAUUCUUAAUAAACUUAAUGGAUUUUCAUGAGUUUUCUCACCUUGUGAUCACUAAUCUAUCUACAUUCUUGGGUUUAUUUUGUUUGUUUACUGCUGUUUUCAGUUACUUGGAGCCUCUUGCAGUUGCUCUAGAUAAAGAGAAGUGGAGCAUGUGUGUUUACUCAAAGUGAAACAGAGUUUGAUGGAUAUUGUUGAGUUCGAUAUAGCUUCUCCUUUCUUCUUUCUCUCUCGCAGGAUUGGUUCUCUUCAUGUUUUUACUAAUGUCUCGGACGGUUAUGAAUCAAGCUCUGAUCAAGAAAGCUACUCUGAGACAAGUUCAGGUAAACUAUCAAAGGUAUCUAUCAAUACUCCUUUGUUUCUCUAUGUUUGUGUUGUGGUGAGUUUGAAGUUUGGUGUUUAUCUUAAUUAUUAUAGAUAGAUAAUGCAUUUGUGUCUCGUGUCUGCUUAGAGACUGCAGGUGGACUUCCAUAUUUGUUCUUGCUUUUGACUUAUGGCUUUGUCUGAUAUAGAGUUAUAAUAAUGUGUACAUGCUUUGGUUUUGUUCACAGGGAGAAGAACACGAGGCAGAGGAGCUCGUGAAAAUUUAUAUGGUGAAGCUCAUUAUUGAGGAUGAUGGUCCGUGUGAGCUGAUCUGAGUUUUGAUGUUGAAGAAGAUGAGAAGCUUGGUUGGAGAAGAUGACAUGGGAGCAGAGAUUAGAGUUUGAGAUUGAAUGUUAACAUAUGCAGCUCUUGAGAAGUUGAAUGUAGAGUUAGCCAUCAAAAAAUGUACUUAGAAAUAUUCUCAUACUAGUUAUCCAAAUCUACACGCUAAAUCUAAUACCGUAAACCCCAAACUUAAACCCUACAUACUAUAUCAUAAAUCCAAUCUUUUCAAACUUAUAAUAUAAAUUUUAUACUUAAACUCCAAGUCUAUUCUAAAACUCAAACCAUAUACAUAAAUCUUAGUCUAAACCCAAAACACUAUUUUCCAAACCCUAAACUUACUUAAUUUUAUUAAUC